AGGUUAAGCUGAAGAGGCGGAGCCGCAGCGAAAGCGAGUCUGAAUAGGGCGUUUAGUACGUGGUCGUAGACCCGAAACCAGGUGAUCUACCCAUGUCCAGGGUGAAGUUCAGGUAACACUGAAUGGAGGCCCGAACCCACGCACGUUGAAAAGUGCGGGGAUGAGGUGUGGGUAGCGGAGAAAUUCCAAUCGAACCUGGAGAUAGCUGGUUCUCCCCGAAAUAGCUUUAGGGCUAGCCUUAAGUGUAAGAGUCUUGGAGGUAGAGCACUGAUUGAACUAGGGGUCCUCAUCGGAUUACCGAAUUCAGUCAAACUCCGAAUGCCAAUGACUUAUCCUUAGGAGUCAGACUGCGAGUGAUAAGAUCCGUAGUCAAGAGGGAAACAGCCCAGAUCGCCAGCUAAGGUCCCAAAGUGUGUAUUAAGUGGAAAAGGAUGUGGAGUUGCUUAGACAACUAGGAUGUUGGCUUAGAAGCAGCCACCAUUUAAAGAGUGCGUAAUAGCUCACUAGUCGAGUGACUCUGCGCCGAAAAUGUACCGGGGCUAAAUACACCACCGAAGCUGCGAAUUGAUACCAAUGGUAUCAGUGGUAGGGGAGCGUUCUAAGUGCAGUGAAGUCAGACCGGAAGGACUGGUGGAGCGCUUAGAAGUGAGAAUGCCGGUAUGAGUAGCGAAAGACGGGUGAGAAUCCCGUCCACCGAAUGCCUAAGGUUUCCUGAGGAAGGCUCGUCCGCUCAGGGUUAGUCAGGACCUAAGCCGAGGCCGACAGGCGUAGGCGAUGGACAACAGGUUGAUAUUCCUGUACCACCUCUUUAUCGUUUGAGCAAUGGAGGGACGCAGAAGGAUAGAAGAAGCGUGCGAUUGGUUGUGCACGUCCAAGCAGUUAGGCUGAUAAGUAGGCAAAUCCGCUUAUCGCAAAGGCUGAGCUGUGAUGGGGAAGCUCCUUAUGGAGCGAAGUCUUUGAUUCCCCGCUGCCAAGAAAAGCUUCUAGCGAGAUAAAAGGUGCCUGUACCGCAAACCGACACAGGUAGGCGAGGAGAGAAUCCUAAGGUGUGCGAGAGAACUCUGGUUAAGGAACUCGGCAAAAUGACCCCGUAACUUCGGGAGAAGGGGUGCUUUCUUAACGGAAAGCCGCAGUGAAUAGGCCCAAGCGACUGUUUAGCAAAAACACAGCUCUCUGCGAAGCCGUAAGGCGAAGUAUAGGGGGUGACACCUGCCCGGUGCUGGAAGGUUAAGGAGAGGGGUUAGCGUAAGCGAAGCUCUGAACUGAAGCCCCAGUAAACGGCGGCCGUAACUAUAACGGUCCUAAGGUAGCGAAAUUCCUUGUCGGGUAAGUUCCGACCCGCACGAAAGGUGUAACGAUUUGGGCACUGUCUCAACCAGAGACUCGGUGAAAUUAUAGUACCUGUGAAGAUGCAGGUUACCCGCGACAGGACGGAAAGACCCCGUGGAGCUUUACUGUAGCCUGAUAUUGAAUUUUGGUACAGUUUGUACAGGAUAGGCGGGAGCCAUUGAAACCGGAGCGCUAGCUUCGGUGGAGGCGCUGGUGGGAUACCGCCCUGACUGUAUUGAAAUUCUAACCUACGGGUCUUAUCGACCCGGGAGACAGUGUCAGGUGGGCAGUUUGACUGGGGCGGUCGCCUCCUAAAGUGUAACGGAGGCGCCCAAAGGUUCCCUCAGAAUGGUUGGAAAUCAUUCGUAGAGUGCAAAGGCAUAAGGGAGCUUGACUGCGAGACCUACAAGUCGAGCAGGGACGAAAGUCGGGCUUAGUGAUCCGGUGGUUCCGCAUGGAAGGGCCAUCGCUCAACGGAUAAAAGCUACCCCGGGGAUAACAGGCUUAUCUCCCCCAAGAGUCCACAUCGACGGGGAGGUUUGGCACCUCGAUGUCGGCUCAUCGCAUCCUGGGGCUGUAGUCGGUCCCAAGGGUUGGGCUGUUCGCCCAUUAAAGCGGUACGCGAGCUGGGUUCAGAACGUCGUGAGACAGUUCGGUCCCUAUCCGUCGUGGGCGUAGGAAAUUUGAGAGGAGCUGUCCUUAGUACGAGAGGACCGGGAUGGACGCACCGCUGGUGUACCAGUUGUUCUGCCAAGGGCAUAGCUGGGUAGCUAUGUGCGGAAGGGAUAAGUGCUGAAAGCAUCUAAGCAUGAAGCCCCCCUCAAGAUGAGAUUUCCCAUAGCGUAAGCUAGUAAGAUCCCUGAAAGAUGAUCAGGUUGAUAGGUUCGAGGUGGAAGCAUGGUGACAUGUGGAGCUGACGAAUACUAAUAGAUCGAGGACUUAACCAU
rnacentral:rRNA from 1 species